UCGUUCUCCUCCCAUUCCUCCCACUCUCUUAUCCACACUACACAACAUCAGAUGCCAGCGUUGGGCAGGCGGGGACGGCGGCGAAGGCCUCCGGCGGUCGGAGCAGAUCGCCGGGCGUGGGGAUGGUGAGCGGCAUGGCUAGGCUCCAGCGAUCGCGGGCAUCUCCUCCACCGCAUCCCCACCAUGGACGGCCGGCCCCGAACUCCUUCGACGCCGCAUCCCUGCCAUGGACGGCCGGCCCCGAACUCCUUCGACGCCGCAGCUAUGGCGUCGUAUGCGAGGUCGGCGUGUGGGGUGGGGGAUCUCGGCGAGCUCCGCCGCCAUCUGCCACCGCCGCCGUCCCCGCCAACCCGCACGGCAGGAUCCCGAUCCCCGCUCUUAUUCCGCGUCUGUCGUCAAGGAGGAGCAGCGCCGGACGCUGGAAGGUCCAGUAGCCGGGGCUGCGGAGGAGCCGCGCCGGCCGCCGGGAGGUCCAGUAGUCGAGGCUGCGGAGGAGCCGCGCAGAGCGCCGGGAGGUCCAGACUAGAAGCCAUAGCCGCUGGUGCGUGUGUGCUAUUCCUGCCGCUGGUGCGUGUGUGCCGCUUCCUGCCGCUUCCUGCCGCUGGUGAAUGCGGGUUGUUCCUGCUAUGGGAAAAGGCCCGUUGGGGCGAUGGAGAGAGGGUGUUCGCGCUGUUGGGAGGGAUGCUUGGUGUUCGGGCUGGGGCUCCUCUCGUCCCGAACUAAUUCGUUCGAUCGAUGCCCAGAUUCCUUCCGAACGAAUCGUUCGGUGUGGGGAGGUCCCAGACCGAACGUUCGGCCGUUAUCGGCGUCCAUGCCUUAACAUACAACAACUUCAAUGGGUUGUAUCUAGUUUGUCUAAUAGCAUGGCAAAAAGAACCGGAGGGAGUACCUACAACCUUCCUUUCUUUCCUCAUUUAUUGUAUGACACUUCAUCAAGAAUUUUAUGUGGCAAAAUCUACCAACAACUAUCUUACAACCAUUAGAGAUGCCCUAAAGGCAUCUCCAACAACUGUAAAAUUGGUGUUGGUAAAUUUGCCACCUAAGACAUAAUGAUGAUGUGGCAUGUAAUAAAUAUGGAGAGAGAGCAAAGUUAUAUGUAAAUAACCAAUAAUCUUUCCACAAGCUCCAA